UACAGAGGUCCCAAGCGUUGUUCGGAUUCACUGGGCGUAAAGGGUGCGUAGGUGGCCAGGUAAGUUCGGUGUGAAAGCUCGGAGCUUAACUCCGAAAUGUCAUUGAAUACUAUCUGGCUGGAGGGUCGGAAGGGAGACUGGAAUUCUCGGUGUAGCAGUGAAAUGCGUAGAUAUCGAGAGGAACACCAGUGGCGAAGGCGAGUCUCUGGACGACACCUGACACUGAGGCACGAAAGCUAGGGGAGCAAACAGG
rnacentral:rRNA from 1 species